GGGCGCGCUGGGCACUGGGCAUGCGCGCGCCGCUCAGCCCGGUCCGUUACCUGUCCUCGGCGGCGGCGGGAUGGAGGGGCUCAUCGAGCUGGUGAACCGGCUGCAGGACGCCUUCGCGGCACUGGGGCAGAGCUGCCUGUUGGAGCUGCCGCAGAUCGCCGUGGUGGGCGGGCAGAGCGCCGGCAAGAGCUCGGUGCUGGAGAACUUCGUCUCCAGGGAUUUCCUUCCUCGAGGAUCUGGAAUUGUAACAAGGCGACCAUUGGUUCUACAGCUUGUCACUGCCAAAACAGAAUAUGCCGAGUUCCUACACUGCAAAGGGAGGAAGUUUACAGAUUUUGAUGAAGUUCGUCAAGAAAUUGAAGCAGAAACAGACAGAGUGACGGGUCUGAAUAAAGGCAUUUCUUCAAUUCCUAUUAAUUUAAGAGUGUAUUCCCCACAUGUGCUAAGCCUGACUCUUGUUGAUUUGCCUGGAAUCACUAAAGUGCCAGUAGGGGAUCAGCCUUCAGAUAUAGAGCAACAGAUCAGAGACAUGAUUAUGCAGUUUAUUUCUCGUGAAAACUGUCUGAUCCUGGCUGUGACUCCAGCCAACACUGAUCUUGCCAACUCAGAUGCAUUGAAGUUAGCUAAAGAAGUAGACCCUCAAGGCCUGAGAACCAUUGGUGUAAUCACAAAACUGGAUUUGAUGGAUGAAGGAACUGACGCAACAGAGAUUCUGGAGAACAAGUUGCUCCCUCUUCGUAGAGGGUAUAUUGGAGUUGUAAACAGAAGUCAGAAAGACAUUGAUGGGAAGAAGGAUAUUAAGGCAGCCAUGCUGGCAGAAAGGAAAUUCUUCCUUUCCCAUCCAGCUUACAGGCAUAUGGCAGACAGGAUGGGAACACCAUAUCUGCAGAAAGUUCUAAAUCAGCAACUCACCAAUCACAUUCGAGACACACUGCCAGCCUUCCGGAGCAAACUUCAGAGCCAGCUGCUUUCUAUAGAGCAUGAAGUAGAGGCAUAUAAAAACUUUAAACCAGAAGAUCCGACUAGAAAGACUAAAGCCUUACUGCAGAUGGUUCAGCAGUUCUCAGUGGACUUUGAAAAAAGAAUUGAAGGAUCAGGGGAUCAAGUUGACACAUUAGAACUAUCUGGUGGUGCCAAAAUCAAUCGCAUUUUCCAUGAGCGUUUUCCUUUUGAACUAGUAAAGAUGGAAUUCAAUGAGAAAGAACUGCGGAGAGAAAUAAGCUAUGCAAUCAAAAACAUACAUGGUAUCAGAACAGGUUUGUUUACUCCAGACAUGGCCUUUGAGGCUAUAGUUAAAAAACAGAUAGUGAAGCUGAAAGGGCCUUGCUUAAAAAGCGUGGAUCUGGUGAUGCAAGAGUUAAUCAACACUGUCAAGAAAUGCACUAAAAAGCUGGCGACCUAUCCAAGGCUAUGUGAGGAAACGGAACGGAUUGUUGCUGGCCACAUUCGAGACAGAGAGGAGAAGACCAAGGAACAGGUACUGCUGCUAAUUGAUAUCCAGGUGUCUUACAUCAAUACCAACCAUGAAGACUUCAUUGGCUUUGCAAAUGCCCAACAACGAAGCAGUCAGGUUAACAAAAGUGCAGUUGGAACUCAGGGAGCCAAUCUACCGCCUUCACGGCAAAUUGUGAUCCGGAAAGGCUGGCUUACCAUCAACAAUAUCGGCAUCAUGAAAGGGGGGUCCAAGGAGUACUGGUUUGUUCUGACUGCAGAAAGCUUGUCCUGGUAUAAAGAUGAUGAGGAAAAGGAAAAGAAGUACAUGCUUCCCUUGGACAACCUGAAAGUGCGGGAUGUUGAAAAGAGCUUCAUGUCUAGCAAACAUAUUUUUGCCUUGUUUAACACGGAGCAAAGGAAUGUUUACAAGGAUUAUCGCUUCCUUGAGCUGGCCUGCGAUGCCCAGGAGGAGAUGGAUAGCUGGAAGGCAUCCCUACUGCGAGCUGGUGUCUAUCCUGAUAAAUCCUCAGGGAACAACAGAUUGGAAAACGAUGAGAACAGCCAAGCAGACAAUUUCUCCAUGGACCCUCAACUGGAGAGGCAGGUGGAGACUAUUCGCAACCUUGUGGACUCCUACAUGUCUAUUAUCAAUAAGUGUAUUCGUGAUCUGAUACCAAAAACAAUCAUGCACCUUAUGAUCAACAAUGUAAAAGAAUUUAUAAAUGCAGAGCUCCUGGCUCACUUGUAUUCCUCUGAGGACCAAAACACCUUGAUGGAGGAGUCAGCAGAACAGGCUCAGAGGCGAGAUGAGGGGCUUCACCUGUACCAAGCCCUAAAAGAAGCACUGGCAAUCAUUGGAGAUAUUAGCACUAGCACUAUAUCUAUCCCUGCCCCACCUCCAGUUGAUGAUUCCUGGCUACAGCAAUCCCGCAGAUCACCCCCUCCAAGUCCUUCAACUCAGAGAAGACCUACAUUAAAUAAUCCCCCAACCAGACCUUUAUCUGGCCGAGGACCUGCUCCAGCAGUCCCAUCACCAGGCCCUCUGUCCGGGGCUCCACCGGUCCCAUUCCGUCCAGGACCAUUACCUCCAUUUCCUAACAACAGUGAAGGCCUUGGGACGCCACCUCAGGUUCCAUCUCGGCCAACGCGGGCUCCUCCCAGUGUUCCAAGCCGAAGACCACCCCCUUCACCCACACGACCCACUGUAAUUCGUCCGUUAGAUUCAUCCCUGUUAGAUUAAGUGAAGUUUCUGGCAUGUCAUUAAUUGCUAACCAAAUGUAUGGAAGCAACUCGCUUGAUAACUGUUGCAAUAACCAAGGCGAGUGGAUACAGAUGGCUUCUCCCGUCCAGAGAGUCCAACGCACUUGCUUGAUAUGUGAUUUGUUCCAUGUUGCCGGCUGUUUGUUUUGUUCCCGGUUUGUGUUUUAUCCCUCUCUACUUUUCCAGAAUGAUGUACACAGUGGCGUCGUUUUGUGAGGAGCAAGUGCUCAGAUUCUCUCUGAAUGUUGCUCUGUAUGUUAAUUGCCUCGUUAAUAUGAGCCACAACACCUGCCAUUGGUUUUGCAGUAUGUAAAUGAUUACUGGCAUGGAUUUUUGCACACUGUGACUGGAUCUCUGAAUCCUCAGUCAUUACCGAAGGUCUCAUACACCGGCUGUAAAAAUGUCGCACUGCAUUUCUGAACCUGAAAUAAAGGUAAAUAUUGGCUGGGUGUUUGUUACUUUCUGGAUGUGGUCGAGAGCCUCGCCUGUCUUUCAACAUGAUCAUGCUACAUUCCUUCAGUCUGUUUUGUCUUCUUUUGAAGAGCUCACCUUCUGGCAUUACUGAUGGGGAUUUACCAAGGUGGUGAGUGUCGGAGUUUUGAUCAGUAGGUGGAAGCUCUAGAUAUGCUGCUCCUUGAAAGGGGAGAUGAGAGAAGAGCAAUCCAAAGGGAGAUUCCAGUAUUAACUGAGUCUGCCACAGUUCUGGGGGAAUAAGAGCACAGCAGGGUGCUAGAAACUUGGGUGAAUGACUAGAAACUGGCACUAAAAUUAGACAUUCUGAGUGAAAUUCAUCGCUGAGCUGCAGGACAGCACGAAUACUCACGGGCUUGCAUGGGACUGGAAUAGUGCGUCCGCUGGCUCUGUGCCUCAGGGAAUUUCAGCCUGAAGGAGUGAGUCUGUAUGUUCAGAUGUGUCAGAACAUAUCUAGGUUCCCCCUUCCAAGUUAGUACCGUCCAACUACUCAGUGCUGAGAGAAGAAAUGGUUUCUACAACAAAACAAACAGUAAAAGCAUGACAGCUCCUUAGAUCAGGAGCUCAGUUACUGAAUCACUGGCUCAGUUGGAGGCAUCACUCAGAAGCUGUACUUUGAUAGGUGCUGGAGAAACCAAAAGUGGGAUGAUUACAGCAGCAGAGAAGUUAAAAAAUGCCUGUCAGAAUUUACAGCAGUUUUGCUGUAACCCUUGUGGAUAUUUCUUAAGUGGUCUUAAUGGCUGUGAAUGUCUUUUGUACUCACACAAACAUCUCAAUAGAAACUCGUCUUCCCCCACAUGCCCUGUCUUUAAUACACUACAGAUCCAAGAGACUUCACGUCAGCACGUGCUGAAAGCACUGCAAGCUUCUCCUCAUGAUGCGCAACUCAUCUCCCCAGCGUGCUGCAAGCCAUGCAGAGAUCCAGCACGUUGCUGAUCAUUUCUGAUCAGCUUUGGCAGUAGUUUAAUAAUACUUCCUUCACCCAACUUUAGCCUUCCCCCAUUACAGAGGCUUCCCUGCGAUCGAAGGAUAACUAUCUUCAUCAUUAUAGACCCAUUCCAAUUUAUCAGAGAUUCCUCUGAAUGCACUGCUGUGACCCAGAGAGCUUUGAGUGGCUUUUUUAGGGACAUUCCAUCUCAAAUAUAGUACAUGUCAUAAUGCAAAGUAACGAAAUGAAUUUCACUAGGGUUCUGCGGAAAAGGACCUGGGGGUGACAGUGGACGAGAAGCUGGAUAUGAGUCAGCAGUGUGCCCUUGUUGCCAAGAAGGCCAAUGGCAUUUUGGGA